rnacentral:piRNA from 1 species
UGAUCACCAACUGAGAAAAUGCCUUACCACU